rnacentral:rRNA from 1 species
GGAGUAACACGUAGGCAACCUGCCCUCAAGUUUGGGACAACUACCGGAAACGGUAGCUAAUACCGAAUAGUUGUUUUCUUCGCCUGAAGGAAACUGGAAAGACGGAGCAAUCUGUCACUUGGGGAUGGGCCUGCGGCGCAUUAGCUAGUUGGUGGGGUAACGGCUCACCAAGGCGACGAUGCGUAGCCGACCUGAGAGGGUGAUCGGCCACACUGGGACUGAGACACGGCCCAGACUCCUACGGGAGGCAGCAGUAGGGAAUCUUCCGCAAUGGGCGAAAGCCUGACGGAGCAAUGCCGCGUGAGUGAUGAAGGUUUUCGGAUCGUAAAGCUCUGUUGCCAGGGAAGAACGCUUGGGAGAGUAACUGCUCUCAAGGUGACGGUACCUGAGAAGAGGAGCCCCGGCUAACUACGUGCCAGCAGCCGCGGUAAUACGUAGGGGGCAAGCGUUGUCCGGAAUUAUUGGGCGUAAAGCGCGCGCAGGCGGUCAUUUAAGUCUGGUGUUUAAUCCCGGGGCUCAACCCCGGAUCGCACUGGAAACUGGGUGACUUGAGUGCAGAAGAGGAGAGUGGAAUUCCACGUGUAGCGGUGAAAUGCGUAGAUAUGUGGAGGAACACCAGUGGCGAAGCGACUCUCUGGGCUGUUACUGACGCUGAGGCGCGAAAGCGUGGGGGAGGCAAACAGGAUUAGAUUACCCUUGG